rnacentral:tRNA from 1 species
GCUUUUGUAGUCCAGCGGUAAGACAUUAGGUUUUCAGCUUAAAAGCGGGAGUUCAACCCUCCCCAGGAGCG